GCGGGUACCACGAGAAAGAAGAAUGAACGGAAAUGCUCGUCAACUUGAGAGAGUAACUCGGACAAGCCCUGACGUACCAAGACAACAUGAACUCCUGAGGACUUUUUUUGGAAGAAACGUAUGAAGCAGGCAUCGAUAUAUUUGCUUUUCUACUGACGACCAAGUGCCAAAUAUCUGCAAUAAACGAUGAGUGCUGAUGAAAAUACUAAAUGGACCCUCCCUAGCGGAGACCCAGAGAAAGGAAAGGUAAUAUAUGCAAAUAUAUGCGCUUCGUGUCAUUGCGUUGAACCCGGUGGGACCAGCAGAUCGGGACCAAACUUAUCGGGGGUCUGGGGGCGCCAGGCGGGCACCCCACUACCGGCUACAAGUUCGCUAAAUCCGAUGAAAAGAAAGGUAUAAUUUGGAAUGACAGGAGGCUAUGGGAUUACUUUGAGCAUGGUCAUAUACCCGGUACCAGGAUGUUCUUUAGAGCUCUAAAAAAGGACCAACAGAAACGAGCCGAUCUUCUAGCGUACCUCAAGAUUGCGUCAGCCCCGCCAAAAUGAGGAUGGCGGAGUCCUGACACCCACGAUGCACAC